AGGCAACAAGCUAGCUAGAAAAAAAAAAAUAUAAGAAAGAAACCGAGCAUUUCUGCGUGUUAUGUGUUGUUGUUGUGAUCAGAGAUCAGUGGAUCAGUGAAACGAACCAAGUGAAAGUGAACGCAGAAACCCUCAAAGAAGAGAAAACCACUCAAGUCUCAAGUGAAACCAGGGAAGAAGUCCUCAAAUCAGAAACCAUGUCGGACAUUGAGGAUGUUUUUGGUGGCUCCGCCGAGGAGGAGACCAAAACCGAUGCCCAGCCGGAUGCCGAGAGCAAGAGCAGUGUGGUUACCGAGCAGACCGAGGAAGUGAUUCCCGGGGAGACCGAGAAAAUGGUCACCGAGACCAUUGACGAGGAUGGCGACGUGGUGGAGGAGACCACCGAAGUCACCCGCAAGACGGUCAAGCGCACCAUGAAAAUUACUGAGACUUCAGCCACCACAAAGACAACCACGCUCACCACUCCGGCCAAGCUGUAUGGCAAGGACCUGAGCGAGUACGAUGAUGUGGAUGUGGAGAGUCUGCUGGCCCAGCUCUCGGCCGAGGAGAUAACCAUAUUGGCCAAAGAAGUGGAUCCCGAUGACAACUUCCUGCCGCCUGAUCAGCGCUGCAGCUAUGAGUGCACCAAGGAUGCCACCGGGCCGCUGAACCGCAAGCAGCUGAUCGAGCACAUCAACAAGCAGGCUAUCGAGACCCCCGACCAGCCAGAGUUCGAGCCCUUCGUCCAGGGCAAGGUGCGUGGCAAGAAGUGGGUGCCCCCGCCAAGGGAUGCCCGGGACAUCGAGGCCGAGGAACAGAUCGCCAUCGAUCUGGGCGAGGAGUAUGAACACGCUCUCAACGACGCCACGCAGGAGGAGAUCAUCGAUCUGGCCGCCAUUCUGGGCUUCCACUCGAUGAUGAACCAGGACCAGUACCAUGCCUCGUUGCUCAACAAGGGCCAGCCGGUGGGCAUGGGCUGGGACGGCAUCACCAAGUCUACGCAGCAGAAGCUCUUCCCCAUGGAUCCGCCAAACAGCACAGACGUCGAGGAGUCCAUUAAGCGGGUCAAGGACGAUGACUCCAAGCUGAUUGACCUCAACUUGAACAACAUUAAGAACAUCUCGGACGAGAAGCUCGAGCAACUGUUUGCCGCACUGCCUCAGAAUGAACAUCUGGAAGUCCUCUCGCUGACAAAUGUCGGCCUCACCGACAAGACAGCCCUCCUGCUGGCGGAGGCUAUCGAGAAGAGCAAAACCCUGAGAGUAUUAAACGUCGAGACCAACUUCAUCAGUCCGCCCGUGAUCGUCAGGCUGGUGCAAGCCCUGCUCAAGUGCCGAACCAUUGAGGAGUUCAGGGCCUCCAAUCAGCGAUCUGCGGUGCUGGGCAACAAGAUCGAGAUGGAGAUCACCGACCUGGUGGAGAAGAACUCGUCGCUGCUGCGCCUCGGCUUGCACCUGGAGUUCAACGACGCCCGUCACCGUGUGGCCGCUCACCUGCAGCGCAACAUCGACAGAAUAAGAAAAGAUCUUGAGUUGCGACUGCAGUUCAGAUUUUUCAAUAAUCUGCAUAGAAAGUCAACAAGAAUUCAGUAAGCAGACCAGAAGCAGAAGCAGAAAGCAAGCAAAGCAACUAAACCAUUUUUAAAGCGUUUUGUAAUCUAAACCCCAAGAACCGAAGAUAAAAAACAUAAACAUAUAACAACGAAAGAACGUGUAUAAUAUAAUACUUGUAUAAUGAAGAAGGACUAAGCAGGAGCAGAAGUUUAAGAUAAAGAUAAUCAGCCCCAGAGCUUGGAAAUAAUAUAUCUGUAUACUCUAGAGAGACUUAACUAAGCACAGCAAACUGAAACCAAAGAAACGAAGUGAAAUAUAUCAAACUAUAUACAUAUACUUUUAAAUUAUAUAACGUUAAAGCGCAGUUCGAGCAGGCCCAUCUAGAAUGGGCUCUGUUCGGAGUCGAGGCCUGUUUUAUAAUCCAGCAGAACAAACGUUUAGGCGACACGUAUAUACUUUUCUCUAAAGCUUGACACAGGAAUUAAACUGCGAUGUAUGAUCUAAGUGAAUACCCCAGAUCCGAAUCAAAGUAAACUAUAAUCCCCAACAACAAGAAUAAAAUGUUUUAAGACACUUUUGUGAUUCAAUAAGAACCAACAACUAACAGCAGAAAAUAAAACAGCAGCACCACCGACAACAGAGCCAUGAAUACGUAAAAAUAUUUAAAAAGAAAUAUACUCGAUCCUGAAAUAAUAAUGUAGCUCUGUAUUCGGCGCAGACGAACAUACGUGUGAAACGCCUCAACCAGCGUAAAUAAAAAGACAAAAUCGAAAAAAUUAUAUAGCAGCAACCAACAACAAUUAUAAGCUACCACCACCAACCACCCAAGAACAAAAUCAAGCAGAAAGCCAUCUACUAUGUGUGUGCAUUCGUUGUCCAACUCUUGAUUACCAAAUUAACAAGCAAUCCACGCCAGAAACACCAACAGCAACCAGAACCAGAACCACCACGAAUACAACAACCGCGGCAACUAGAUCAACAAUUUCUAUCCAACCUAUUCUCCCACCAAAAAUUCAGUCCUAUUGUGAAACCCGAACCAAUCUACCAACCAAAUGUGAACUAACACCGAAGAAUGAUGUGUGACAUGAA
rnacentral:misc_RNA from 1 species